rnacentral:rRNA from 2 species
UAGGGAAUUUUCGGCAAUGGGGGAAACCCUGACCGAGCAAUGCCGCGUGAACGAUGAAGGUCUUCGGAUUGUAAAGUUCUGUUGUUAUGGACGAAUGAUGCGUAUAGGAAAUGAUAUGCAUUUGACGGUACUUAACUAGAAAGCCCCGGCUAACUAUGUGCCAGCAGCCGCGGUAAUACAUAGGGGGCAAGCGUUAUCCGGAAUUAUUGGGCGUAAAGCGUGCGUAGGCGGUUUAUUAAGUCUGGUGUGAAAUCCCAUAGCUUAACUAUGGCGGGUCAUUGGAAACUGGUAAACUUGAGUACAGUAGGGGCAAGUGGAAUUCCAAGUGGAGCGGUGGAAUGCGUAGAUAUUUGGAGGAACACCAGUGGCGAAGGCGGCUUGCUGGGCUGGAACUGACGCUGAGGCACGAAAGCGUAGGGAGCAAACAGG